rnacentral:lncRNA from 1 species
GAUCACAGGAAUACCAGUUACCGUACCUAUUAUCCAAAGAGGAAUCCUUCCAGUAGUAUCGGCCAUUUAUCCCGCUUCCCUCCACAUUUCAUCAAGUGGUCAUGCUAAAGACAUAAACAGUCAUAGAUAAUUAUGAGAUGCAAUCCUUCCGAAUGGGAUAAGAGAAUUCCUACUAUUAUUUAGUAUUCUACUACUCUUUUUUUCUUAAUUGAAGAAAUAAUUGGAAAAUAAAACAGCAAGUACAAAAAUGAGUAAUAACCCCCAGUAGAGACUGGUACGAUUCAAUUCAACAUUUUGUUCGUUCGGGUUUGAUUGUGUCAUAGCUCUAUAAUUAAUUCGGAUUAGGUUUAUCGUUGGAUGAACUGCAUUGCUGAUAUUGACCCCAAAAAAGAAACGGUAGGUACAGCUAGUCCGUGAACAGCCAACCAUCGCACUGUAAAAAUUGGAUAGGUUCGAUCUAUGGUCAUUGGGUCCUCCUAAAAAGAUCUACUAAAUUCAUCGAGUUGUUCCAAAGAAUCAAAACGGCCGGUUAUUAAUGGAAUUCCUUGUCGGCUCUCUGUAAAAUACUCGUUUGGACGAGGGCUUCCAAACACAUCAUAAGCUAAACCUGUGCUGACGAAUAACCAACCCGCAAUGAAUAGGGAAGGUAUAGUAAUACUAUGAAUGAUCCAGUAUCGAAUACUGGUAAUAAUAUCAGCAAAAGAACGUUCUCCUGUGCUUCCAGACAUGCUGAGCUCCGCAUAUUCUUGUAGGGGAUCGAUUCCGUAAAAGAUGAGAUCAGUAAACGGAAAUUCACUGAAAUUCAAUCUUUGUGAGAUCGUCAAUAUUGUACCAAAGGUAUUUUUAGAGUAUACCGAAUCAGUAUAGCUAUCCUUCUUCUGACACAGCAACGCAAUUUCAAACAGUAUAUCGACAUGAAGUGCUAGAUAAUUUCUUUCUUCUUCUUGCUUGUCGAUGUAUAACCACGUAUCAUGCGAUAGAAAAUUCCUCAAAUUCCUGGAAUAUAAUAUAGGGGAUUCUAUUAUUGGUUUGGGGCUAGAAACGGAAGAUCAGGUAACCCGUGAAUCCAACAAGUUUAUAAUAAUUCAUGAAGGAAAUUAUCAUAUUUCCGCAAGUCAAUUAGAUGCGAAAUCUAAAAAUUGACUUUUUUUCGUAAUUGCAUAAGAGGUUUUGUUUUUUGUUGUAAGCCCUCCUUUUUUUAUUUUAAGGAAUUGCUUAGUCGUCUAGUAACAAGUAAGAGUAGUCGAUAGUAUUAGAUAUAGAUAAAAAAAGAGCAAGGAAUAAAAAAAAAUUCUACUAAUCAAUAUUUGUGAGGCGGCCUUUCUUGUAUUCUUGUAUUAGAUCCAAAGGUUUUUUCUUGACCUAACUACAAAGAUGAUGAAUCUAUUUCUUUUUCUUUUCUACUCUUGUCCUGCCGCUCUAUUUUUGUGAAUACCGUUUAGAAUGAUUGAUGAAUCAAAAAAUUUCAAUUGAACUUAUUCUUUCAAUUGGUAUUUUUGCUUAUCCCCGUCUCUUUUAAAAAUUGAAACUUAGGUAAGUGCUUUAUAAACAUAUGUAUAAAAGAACAUAUUUCAUUUAGCUCCUUCAUGCCUACUCUAAACUAGUUAUUUCGGUUUUUACUAGCGGCUUUAACUAUAACCUCAGCUCUAUUUAUUGGUCUGAGUAAGAUACGACUUAUUUGAAAAUUAAUUGAAUGAACGAACAAUUAAUAAAAACAAAGUUUUCUGUCCUAUUCCAUAUAUUCUAUAGUUCCUUUACCGUGUUAAUUAUCAAUUAUUAGUUAUUGAUAUUCAUGGGCAAUAGAGAUUAAUAUUAGGGAUAGAUAUUACCUUUCUUUUUCUCCUUUCAAUAAAUUGAAAUGAUUGAAGUUUUUCUAUUUGGAAUCGUCUUAGGUCUAAUUCCUAUUACUUUGGCUGGAUUAUUCGUAACCGCAUAUUUACAAUACAUACGUGGUGAUCAGUUGGACCUUUGAUUAAUUAACAUCUCUUUUUUUGACUGACCCCUUUAAUUUUAAUUUAAUUAAUUUAAUUCAAGGAGGUCAAAUUCGAAUUGCUGUUCAAUUUUUUUUUUUUUUUUUUUUUUUUCAGUUCGGUGUAAUUUUCGACUUAACAAGAGCGGAAUCACGCUCUGUAGGAUUUGAACCUACGACAUUGGGUUUUGGAGACCCACGUUCUACCGAACUGAACUAAGAGCGCUUUCUUAUCAUAAUAAAUAAGACUGUAAAAAAGAGGAUUCUUUUAUUUUAUAACCCCAAUACAUCGUGCACACCUAUACUAUCAUAUAUCAUAUAUAAUAUGAGAAAAUGAUAGAUUAUGUAUGCUUAAUUUUAAUCAAUCUAAAACUAAAAUGGCUCCCUCCUUACUGCUCAAAGGAGAAGUAAUAGGUAGGGAUGACAGGAUUUGAACCCGUGACAUUUUGUACCCAAAACAAACGCGCUACCAAGCUGCGCUACAUCCCUUUCAAUUGGCCUACGAUGUUAUUGUAGAGAAUCCCUGUCUUGUUUUUCCACACCCUUAUUUCAUCUAUUGAUAUACAAAAAUUAUCUUUCCAUUUCCUCUUUUGGUCUCAUAUCAUAUAACAACCAUAUAAUGAAUAAUAAAUGAAUCUUUUUGGCGGGAAUUCUCAGGCAGAAAGGGACCUAUUUUGCUGUUUUAAAGAAAAGGAAAAUCUUAUCUAUCGAAUCAUUGUACAUUUAAAUUUUAAUUUUGAAUUAGGAAUUCCGGUACAAAUAUACAAAUACAAGUGGUCUUUAACCACACAUACAUGUGAUUAUAUAUGUAUUACCAUAAUGUAUGUAAUACGAUAAGAAGGAGGAUUUUAAAUGCGAGAUCUAAAAACAUAUCUUCCGUAGCACCGGUACUAAGUACUCUCUGUUCGGUUCUUUAGCGGGUUUAUUGAUAGAGAUCAAUCGUUUCUUCCCGGAUGCGUUAACAUUCCUUUUUUUAAUUCUAGUUAUUGUCGCGGGACGGGGUGAAAAAGAUUAGAUCGAUAUACAAUCAAAUAUCUGUGACUAAUCUCUCGCCCCCCUUGACUUUAGUUGUUUUUAGAAUUAUAAUUAUAUAAGAAAAUGAAUUCUAAUUAUAUAAGAAAUAAUUCUAUUUAGUUUUUUUAGAAUUCUAAUUAUAUAAGAAUUAUAUAAAAUAAAUAAGGAAGGUAGAACGAAAAAAGUGGAUUGAACCUCAACAAAACUUGGGUUCAAGCUCCAAUUAAAUACUAGUAGAGCGAAAAGAGAAAUGUGGCUGGAACAACAGUAUCCCUACAAGAUACUUAAAGAAAAUACCGUACUGUGAUUCUAAAUCGAGUUAGAAAUCAUUGUAUUACUUAUUUACUAUUAGUAUAAUACAUAUUGAUUUACUAUAUUGAUUGCAAUUGAUUGCAACGAAAUCUUUCAGGAUUUGGUUUUGAGUUAGCAACUUUUAUUUAUUUAUUUUCAUUCCUUUCUUCUUCACUUUUGAUCGGAAAAUAGAAGAGUUGGGUGAAUUAAAAACUCAAAGGGGGUUCAUGGCCAAGAGUAAAGAUGUCCGAGUAACGAUUAUUUUGGAAUGUACCAGUUGUGUUCGAAACGUCGUUAAUAAGGAAUCAACGGGCAUUUCCAGGUAUAUUACUCAAAAAAAUCGACACAAUACGCCUAGUCGAUUGGAAUUGAAGAAAUUCUGUUCCUAUUGUUACAAACAUACAAUUCACGGGGAGAUAAAGAAAUAAAUCGAAUCAAGUACUCGUAUGUCAACCCUUCCCGAGAAUAUGAGAAAAUAGGACAUUAGGUAUUUAGGUAACAUUAGGUAUUUAGUAUGAGAAAAUAGGACAUUAGGUAUUCAGGUAUAAUAAUAUAUAUUAUAUAAUAUAUUAAGUAAUAUUAAGUAUAUAAUUAGUUAGAUAUAAUAUAUAACUAAUAUAUAACAAAUAUUUUAUUUAUAUAUUAGUCUAUAUUUGUAUUUCCUUGUCUAUUCCACGCUUUCUUUUUAAAGUGAAGUUUUUAGUUUUAAAUUAUUCUAUAUGCACGUUAAUAAAUUUUUAACCUUUUUAACCUGGUAUAUGAUUGUAUCAAUAUUCUUUUAUUUUUUUUUAUUCUAUUUUUUAUUUAGUUCUUAUUUUUUUAAUAAUUUUUUUCUUUAUUCUCGAGUCAAUUAUUUAUUUUUUUAGUUUACCGUCUUCGAAUGAUUUUUAGUUUACAGUCUUCGAAUGAUUAGGAGUUGGAUUUUCAUUGAUUAGGAAUUAGAUUUUUAAUAUCACUAACUAUUUUUUUUUUUAUUUUCUAUUCGUGCAUAAUGAUUAUUUUAAUAUUGUUAAUUUUAAUAUUGUUGUUAAUUUUAAUAUUGUUAAUAUUGUAUUAUUUAUUAUAUUGUAUGAUUUAUUCAUUACUAUAUUUUUUAGUUAUUACUAUAUUUUGUAUUUAUUACUAUAUUUCAUUAUUUAUUUCUUAUUUUAUUAAUUAUUUAUUAUUUUCGUGUCG